UAUAUAUAUAUAUAUUAGCCAUUCACUCAUAAUGGCCAGGUGGCCAUUUUAAUUAAAUGGCCGAAUGGCCUUAUCAAAGAUGCAGUGCUUCUUCGUUUCUAUUUUUGGAACAGCGGGGGGCUCCUUUUCAAUUUUUUUCUCUUUUGGAUUUUCAUAGAAAAAUUACAAUUUAUGAAGAUCCAAUGGUUCAAUCUUAGAUCUGACUUCGGUAAUGUAAUCUGUGAAGCUCGAUCUACAUUUUGACCGAACGUUUUAAGAUUUUAUGUGGUUUGGAGUUGCUAGGAGCUUCCCGAGCAUUUGGUCUUUGCUUGGCGAAUUUUUGGGCCGCUUUAUGAUUGAGCUUAGAGUCGUUUGGAUAUUGGGAGUACAAGCGACCUGAGGAUGAUCCCCAUAGUAAAAUGGACUUGAUGAGUUUUCGGUCAAUGAAGAAGAAGAAGAAGAAGAUGAUGAUACAGCACGCCAUUUGAUGAAACAGAAUUGAAAAAAAAAAUUGCAGAAUGAAAAAUUGAAGAACAGAAUUGAAAUGAAUCAAAAGAACUUUCACUGAUUUGUGAAAAGCUUUGAUACCAUGACAAUUUACGAAAAUGUAAAGUAGGUGAAAGACAUGAAAUUGAUCUUCUAUUGAAUUGAGUUAA